UAACGCGAAGAACCUUACCAAGUCUUGACAUCCGCCUGACCGAUCCUUAACCGGAUCUUUCCUUCGGGACAGGCGAGACAGGUGGUGCAUGGUUGUCGUCAGAUCGUGUCGUGAGAUGUUGGGUUAAGUCCCGCAACGAGCGCAACCCCUAUCCUCAGUAGCCAGCAUUUAAGGUGGGCACUCUGGGGAGACUGCCAGGGAUAACCUGGAGGAAGGCGGGGAUGACGUCAAAUCAUCAUGCCCCUUAUGAUUUGGGCUACACACGUGCUACAAUGGCGUAAACAAAGGGAAGCGAGAUUGUGAGAUGGAGCAAAUCCCAAAAAUAACGUCCCAGUUCGGACUGUAGUCUGCAACCCGACUACACGAAGCUGGAAUCGCUAGUAAUCGCGGAUCAGAAUGCCGCGGUGAAUACGUUCCCGGGUCUUGUACACACCGA
rnacentral:rRNA from 1 species